rfam:Triticum aestivum genome assembly, contig: Triticum_aestivum_CS42_TGACv1_scaffold_424455_5BS
UUUGUACUCCCUCCGUCACGAAAUUCUUGUCUUAAAUUUGUCUAAAUACGGAUGUAUCUAGUUACAUUUUAGUGUUAGAUACAUCCGUACCUAAACAAAUGUAAGACAAGAAUUUUGGGACGGAGGGAAUACUAC